rnacentral:rRNA from 1 species
AGUGAACGCUGGCGGCGUGCUUAACACAUGCAAGUCGAACGAGAACGGGCUAUAGCUUGCUAUAGUUGUCAGCUAAGUGGCGCACGGGUGAGUAAUGUAUAGGUAAUAUGCCUCUUACUAAGGGAUAACAAAUGGAAACGUUUGCUAAUACCUUAUACUCCUUAUUAACAGAAGUUAAUAAGGGAAAGAUUUAUUGGUAAGAGAUUAGCCUGUAUUGUAAUCAGUUAGUUGGUGGGGUAAUGGCUUACCAAGACUAUGACACAUAACUGGUUUGAGAGGAUGAUCAGUCACACUGGAACUGAGACACGGUCCAGACUCCUACGGGAGGCAGCAGUGGGGAAUAUUGCACAAUGGACGAAAGUCUGAUGCAGCAACGCCGCGUGGAGGAUGACACAUUUCGGUGCGUAAACUCCUUUUAUAUGAGAAGAUAAUGACGGUAUUAUAUGAAUAAGCACCGGCUAACUCCGCGCCAGCAGCCGCCGUAA